UACGUAGGGGGCUAGCGUUGUCCGGAUUUAUUGGGCGUAAAGAGCGUGUAGGCGGCCAGGUAGGUCUGCUGUGAAAACUCGAGGCUCAACCUCGAGACGUCGGCGGAAACCAUCUGGCUAGAGUCCGGAAGAGGAGAGUGGAAUUCCUGGUGUAGCGGUGAAAUGCGCAGAUAUCAGCAAGAACACCAGUGGCGAAGGCGGCUCACUGGCCCGGUACUGACGCUGAGGUGCGAAAGCGUGGGGAGCAAACAGGG
rnacentral:rRNA from 1 species